UUACCGACUGCUUGGCUAGUCCCAGUAAGGU
rnacentral:piRNA from 1 species